rnacentral:rRNA from 1 species
CUACGGGUGGCUCCAGUGGGGAAUAUUGGACAAUGGGGGAAACCCUGAUCCAGCAAUACCGCGUGUGUGAAGAAGGCCUGCGGGUUGUAAAGCACUUUCGGUUGGGAGGACUGCUUCUAGCACUAAUAUUGUUGGAAGUUGACGUUACCUUCAGAAGAAGCACCGGCUAACUCCGUGCCAGCAGCCGCGGUAAUACGGAGGGUGCAAGAGUUAAUCGGAAUUACUGGGUGUAAAGCGCGCGUAGGCGGCUAGAUCAGUCGGGUGUGAAAGCCCCGGGCUUAACCUGGGAACUGCAUCCGAUACUGUCUAGCUUGAGUACAGGAGAGGAGAGUGGAAUUCCACAUGUAGCGGUGAAAUGCGUAGAUAUGUGGAGGAACGCCAAUGGCGAAGGCAGCUCUCUGGCCUGAUACUGACGCUGAGGUGCGAAAGCGUGGGGAGCAAACAGGAUUAGAUACCCGCGUAGUC